rnacentral:rRNA from 1 species
UACGUAGGGCGCAAGCGUUGUCCGGAAUUAUUGGGCGUAAAGAGCUCGUAGGCGGUUUGUCGCGUCUGUCGUGAAAGCUUGGGGCUUAACCCCAAGUCUGCGGUGGAUACGGGCAGACUAGAGGCAGGUAGGGGAGAACGGAAUUCCCGGUGUAGCGGUGAAAUGCGUAGAUAUCAGGAGGAACACCGAUGGCGAAGGCAGGUCUCUGGGCAUUAACUGACGCUGAGGAGCGAAAGCAUGGGGAGCGAACAGG